rnacentral:lncRNA from 1 species
UCCUAUUUACCAGUGAAGUACAUUGAUCAAAGGCUUUGAUUUAGAUUUAACUAUGGCUUCAAGCAAUCAAUUCAUUGCUACAUUGUUACUUGCUUUUGCAUUUUCAAGCAUCAAUGUAAGUAUCGCCACUCGCCAUCUCUUGGACACUCCCUCAGCUCCAACGUUGCCUGUCGUUCCAACCAUUCCGAUGCCUACAUUACCCUCCCUACCUACAAUUCCUACAUUGCCUUCUUUUCCUGCCAUGCCCACAGCUCCAAAGGUCACACUGCCUCCCAUGCCAUCUCUUCCAUUGCCAACGAUGCCAACCAUUCCAAAGGUGACAUUACCCCCCAUGCCAUCUAUUCCGCUUCCAACUAUGCCUACUACUGUUCCAAAGGUCACACUGCCUCCCAUCCCAUCCAUUUCAAUUCCCACCAUCCCUUCAAUUUCCACUAUAAUUCCCUCAAUUCCAUUCUUUUCUCCUCCACCUUCAACCACAAGUCCAUAAAAUACUGUGAUACUACUUGUUAGAUCGAUACUGGUCCAGCUGGGGGGUGUAUGCCAGUUUUAUUGGAUUUUACUUUGAAAUUUGCAUUAUUUUUCAUUUCUUAUAUGUAUUGUGUUUUAUGAAUUUGAUUUAGUCAUUGUAUUGUUUCAGUUUGUAUUUCUAUUUGAUUGACUAAUAAAAUUUCGUUUUUAAGUUAUUGUUCAAAGGGAAUUUAGCUAACUGUAACUAUAAUUCAUGAAAUUACAACAAACCUCAGAAAUGCUUGUAAUAAAUUUGGCAAUCAGACCUUUCAAAAGCCACCUUUGUUCAGCACUCAAGUGUCUAGAGCUGCAUACAUAGAGGGAAAUCCACAUGGAUUCAUAGUUCAAAAAUUUAAAGAGAAUGGUCACCAUGUCAAGGAAAUCACCCUAAUCAAAAGUUCAUUUCUGUGCAACAUUAGAACUAACCAUCAAUAUAUAGCAAAAUAAAUCAAUGAACUGACCAUUUUUCUAUGAUGUGGCCCUGAGAUCAUCCUCUCCUCCAAAAACCAAUAUUGUUUCAGACUAGACAGACGGAAAGGGGGAAAAAAAGCUCAAUCCUAGGUAGAUUUUGCAAUGUACAAAAUGAGACCGAUCAAUUAUCAUCUGGGGAUGUCAACAUCGCGUAAAGCUCUGGAAGGUGGGAAUUGGUCAGCUUGGUUCUCUUACUAAUUCUGCGCACCUUUUUCUUGGCCUUGGACGACUUGGGUUCAAUACCUAGCAUCUGAGCCAUAGCCAUCCGUUCAGCUGUAUUGGUAGAAGGCUUUAAUCCAUUCUUCUUAAGUUCUUUCUCUAUGUCAAUCAUAACAGUAGGCAAUGGAACUUCCCAAAAUACCUUUUUCAAAUAAUCAUCAUCAAGCUGAAACGACACUUUGGGAUCAUUCGGGUACACAAUGUCUUCCUGAACAAUGGGUUUCGACAACCACCAAAUCUUGUGAACAGCCUUCAAAGUUUUCAAGUCUUCCAUAACAGUAGGGUAAGCAUCAUUAAGAUCGACGACAGCAAUACCCUCAGGAAAUUUUUGUAUCAAACCAAACAAUUCAUUCUUAUCUUUCAAAUUAUAUCUAGGCUUAUACCAAAAGCACUGUCCAUCAUAUCUCACUUUAACAUUAUUCCUCAAACUAUCAAACACAGCAUUGUUUCCCUUAACAUCAACAUAACAAACUUGAUUAAUUUGUUCUGCUGUAAAACCCUUCCUUGUCUGUAACAACAAAUCUAUAACAAGUUUUAACUGAGACCCAACUGGUGACUUUCUUAUGUUGUGAAUUUGCUGAAGUCUCGCGAUAUCGUUUGAGAAAUUCAGAAUUGGGUUAGGAGCUUUUUGUAACAUCAUGAUAGAUGAUGAUGAUGAUGUGCUUGUUGGUGCAGCAAGUUCCUGUACGUGCAAGUUCAAACAAAUUAGGGUUUAGGGUUUAAGAUUAAAAAACAAAUAUAUAGUAUAACAAGGUUUCAAAUUUAUUAGGGUUUUAGUUCAUAAAUUAACAAAUCAAACAAAACCAAAAGUUGUAGAAGUUUUGAUUUAAAACCAAUUUCGUUUAAAAUCAAUCAACAGGGUUUUUUCAAUUGUCGAGAAGAAGUAAUCACAACAGAGAAGUAGGUUUUCGAAGAAAACAAACUUACAGUUGCCAUCGUUACUUCUUCACAAA